rnacentral:rRNA from 1 species
GGGGAAUAUUGCACAAUGGGGGAAACCCUGAUGCAGCGACGCCGCGUGGAGGAAGAAGGUCUUCGGAUUGUAAACUCCUGUUGUUGGGGAAGAUAAUGACGGUACCCAACAAGGAAGUGACGGCUAACUACGUGCCAGCAGCCGCGGUAAAACGUAGGUCACAAGCGUUGUCCGGAAUUACUGGGUGUAAAGGGAGCGCAGGCGGGAAGACAAGUUGGAAGUGAAAUCUAUGGGCUCAACCCAUAAACUGCUUUCAAAACUGUUUUUCUUGAGUAGUGCAGAGGUAGGCGGAAUUCCCGGUGUAGCGGUGGAAUGCGUAGAUAUCGGGAGGAACACCAGUGGCGAAGGCGGCCUACUGGGCACCAACUGACGCUGAGGCUCGAAAGUGUGGGUAGCAAACAGGAUUAGAUACCCUGGUAGUCCACACCGUAAACGAUGAUUACUAGGUGUUGGAGGAUUGACCCCUUCAGUGCCGCAGUUAACACAAUAAGUAAUCCACCUGGGGAGUACGACCGCAAGGUUGAAACUCAAAGGAAUUGACGGGGGCCCGCACAAGCAGUGGAGUAUGUGGUUUAAUUCGACGCAACGCGAAGAACCUUACCAAGUCUUGACAUCCUGCGACGGACAUAGAAAUAUGUCUUUCCUUCGGGACGCAGAGACAGGUGGUGCAUGGUUGUCGUCAGCUCGUGUCGUGAGAUGUUGGGUUAAGUCCCGCAACGAGCGCAACCCUUACUGUCAGUUACUACGCAAGAGGACUCUGGCAGGACUGCCGUUGACAAAACGGAGGAAGGUGGGGAUGACGUCAAAUCAUCAUGCCCUUUAUGACUUGGGCUACACACGUACUACAAUGGCGUUAAACAAAGAGAAGCAAGACCGCGAGGUGGAGCAAAACUCAGAAACAACGUCCCAGUUCGGACUGCAGGCUGCAACUCGCCUGCACGAAGUCGGAAUUGCUAGUAAUCGUGGAUCAGCAUGCCACGGUGAAUACGUUCCCG